rnacentral:rRNA from 1 species
UACGCAGGGUGCGAGCGUUGUCCGGAAUUAUUGGGCGUAAAGAGCUCGUAGGCGGUUUGUUGCGUCGGCCGUGAAAACCUGCAGCUUAACUGUGGGCCUGCGGCCGAUACGGGCAGACUUGAGUUCGGUAGGGGAGACUGGAAUUCCUGGUGUAGCGGUGAAAUGCGCAGAUAUCAGGAGGAACACCGGUGGCGAAGGCGGGUCUCUGGGCCGAUACUGACGCUGAGGAGCGAAAGCGUGGGGAGCGAACAGG